AAUCUGUAGCAACAAGGUAAUAAUUCAGUCUGGGAGCUCACAGGCUCCGACAGAUCCUUUGAUUUUCACCCGGUUUCAUUUCCCCUUGUUCCUUUUCCAAUUAACCAGUCCGAAGUCCACCUGCAGUGUGGGCCAACGGUUGUAAAUUAUUUCUACUUUCUCUCUAAUAUAUCACAGCGAAUGAAGGCCGAGAGAGGCGACGGUAAUUCACCCACAUUAAGUAAUACAAUUGAUGAAAAUGCAACACUCUCAAGCACCUCAUCUCGUUUUCUGAUUUCAACACAAAUAUCCUACAGUCAACAGAAUAACAACAACCAGCCAUUACAAAACCGGAUUAGGUGGCAAAUAAAGACUUGCUAAAGUAAGAACAAAAUGUUGAUAAUAUAGAAAAUCCCCAAUUUAAAAAGCCUAUAACCGAUAAGGUGUGAACAUCUCGGCUCCGUGAACUGGAAUACAACAUUUGCAGGUGGUGAGGUCAUUGAACAGAUAUCAUGUCACACUUCACGUCGCACUCGUGAUGAAUGCAGUUCUGCUCCCAGUUCUUUCCUCAGCUCCAACAGCCGGGAAGAGAACGAGGUAAGAAGCCGAAGUCGUGGAAGCUGGUGAAUCCACCGCCGUUGCAGCGGCCUCCACCUGCCCAGAGGCCAGAUGGCGGAGGAAGGGCAGGAGGCGGGCUCCUAAUGAGGCGAGACAGGCAGCGAGGGAGCAGAGGUUGUGUGGAAUGACCCCGAGGGGGGGGACACGUGCGGCGUCCUCCAUCUGCUCCGCUCACGUGGAACGCUGCGCCUCCGUCGGCCGGUGGAGACUCCACCUUGCGUGCACCGCCUCUCAUCACAGUUGUUUGUAACUUGAUUUCUCUCUUUGACUGGGAAUCGAGUCACAAAGAAGCACUGAACAUGACUUAGUUGAUUGCGAACGUCACAAUGACGCAAGAACCUCCCGCUCAGUCGACGACAGCGACAGUUCAUGUUAAGAUGAAAACGAUUAGAGGAACUCUGUAAAUGCUGCGGCACAACAUCAGUAGAGGUUUUAAGAUGAUGUACUUAAAAGGAUGGAACAUUUUUCUAUCAACUAAAAUCAGUUGCCAUCAUUUCAAACUGAGAGAAACACAUUUCGGAGAAUGUGAAAUAUAGUUGAGGUAAUUUCCUUUUGAUAAAUGAUUCACUCAGUUGUUCCUUUUAUGUCGAGUUCGACUGCUUUCAGUCUCUGUUUUAUUAAUAGAAGAUGGUGUGUGUGUACGAGCGUGUGUUGUUGUUAAGUGCAUGCAACGCGUCUCUGGCUAAUGCGCGUCCUGCAGAGAAACACGCGGCGCUUUCAUUCACGCGGUUGCACGCUGAGCGUCCGCGUCUUCACUCAACAACACGUCCAUCUCUGUCCUGCAGUCUUGCUUUAAACUCUUAUCCGACCAGAGAGACUUCAAGCUGUAACCAAACUCGUAGCAGUUGUUGUGAGCUGCUUUGGAGGCUUUUGGAGGACAGCAUUGUCCCUUUGUCCCCCUCAGACAGACUCAUGGAUCGACUUUUAUUACGCGGUUUUCACCCUUUGUUUCUUCCACCUUUUAAGCCACCUGAGACAACUUUACCAAUUUGGACAAAGUGAAUUGCCAUAAAUCAUGACCCGGUAGUGUCAUAUUAUAUUUAGGAGAAGGAAGAAAUAAGUCCUGUAAAGUAUUGCACGUUGGCCAUAAAAGGCCAAUCAGUUGUGGGGAAGAAGGCAGUAACUGUUGCCUGGUUAGUGCUAAUCUUUGUAGCCUUUAAGUCCUCUUGACUGAAGACAAAUGGUCCUGUUAAAAAAGGGACGGUAGGUGCAGUAGAUUAUAGCUGUGGGUGCCCAGAUUACACCGGAAAAAAAAAGAAUUAUGAAUAUUUAUAGAGCAGUCGACGUUUAAAAAUGCCUCACGACUACAGGCCGACAUGAAUAAUGUCCAAGAACUAAAACUGCUGAAAAGGCCAUUUCCGAUACCUGACCGAGACUAGUCGACCCUGUUUGAUUCACGUGCACGUCUCAAGCGAAAUGAUGUGUUUAUUUGCAGGAUGGGAGGCCGAGCCGCAGUAGGCGUUGUUUAAAUUCAAUUUCCUUCACUUCCUUGCUUUGUUUUGAUGGUGACAACUUGUUAAAGGAACACUGUGCACACCUAAUUAUUCAAACAGCCACUUUUUAGGACGUUUUCAGAAAAAUAAGAAACAAAAAACAGUGUCCAUCCUGGAAUAACUAUAAUUCUCUUUUCAAGUUAUAAUACCUACUAUUUCAUGUUGUUGCUUUUAGUACACAGUCAUUUCCUUAAAAGGGAUACUUCUCUGUAAUGUGGAUCCCUUGGCAUCAUGCGGCCGCAUUGAGCGUGUUGCAGCUAACACAAGAUGCUGUGAGCACUAUUCUCUGUCUUGGCUGGAGUCAUGCCUGCAAGUGAGGUAUCAACGUGACGUUUGCAGGAGCAAAUGCGCAUCAUUUUGAUGGGGCCUUGAUAUCGAAAAUGCAAUUUGUAAGAUCAAAAGAACAUGUCAACGCGUCCCAUUCUGGAGAAUGGAAAAACAUUCUGUUCAUCGCGCUCCCAUUACGGAGGAUACUGGAUGUCUGGCACGGAUAUCAAACGAGGGAUAAAUUACUUGCGCGCGUCAACAAGAGGCUGACGUCGAGGCAGAGCCAAACAAACACAGACGUGUGACACCUUCAUCACUGGAGGAUGAGAGCGUCCUUCGGGGUGCGAGGGGAGGUCAUGCGUGUUUCAUGAGUACAAGCUCGGGUUAAAGCCGCAGCAAAGGGUGUGAUGGCCGCGAGGGGAAGCAGACACAGAGACACCAAUAUGUCAAAAACCACUUAGCACAGAAUUUAGCACAAAACGGCAUCAGCCUUCAGUUGAAGCUCAGAGGAAGUCUCUCCAAUCUCUCAUUCCCUCCGUCACCGGGGCUGAUUGUUGCCGUACACUUUAAUAAUUAACAACAAUAAUUAACCAGAUUCAAAAUCCAAAGUUGAUGUUGAAAUGUUUAAUGAUGUAACUGUUCCAGCCACUUGGUGAAUUUACCCUUUAGGCUCUGCUUUGGUCUCCACCAACUGAAUAUAACAUCGAGCUCUUUAACUGCUAAAUGUAACAUUCAUCAUUUUUAGAUUUUUCUUCCAAAUUGUGGACAGAUGAACACUGUGUUGGGAACAGACAUGAAUGCACUGUGGACACGCAUCGCCAAUAACAGAAUGGCCUUGCAUUUACUUUCCACACAGCACGUAUGUGGUGUGACUGCACGGUGGAAAGGAUCCCACAUUUCCCCUUGCAAUGUGGAAUUGUCUUCCAGGGAAACUUUCACCGACUCUCACCUCGUCUCUGAAAAAUCUAUUUCGGGCUCGUUGCAGAAGCUGACAAAGAAACGAAUCGGCAGUUAUACUCGCGGAGGCGUUUGCGGUAAAUGCGGCCAAAGACUUGAUAGGAUGCGAUGAUUAUUGUCGGGUGGAAUUAGUCCAUCCCGACGCUGACCAUCCUUGUGAACAUCAGGCCCGCCGUGCUGGACUGACCCGAUGUCACUGGCCAGAGACGAGUGGUCAGAUUUCAUUUUCCGCCUGGGUGACGUCGCUUUAAGGGAUCGCCGUUUCUUUAAAGCGUGGAAUCCAUCUGUUUGCUAGUUGGGUGCAUUCAAGGCUUUUAAAUCUGCGGCUCACGGGCAGCGCUUCAGGCACCAACUGUGCGCAUAAUAACAAAUUAAAAUUUCAUUAGCAGAAGCUAAUUUCAAGAGGAGAAAAAUUUCUUUGACAAGUUGGAUGGUUUUGGGACACUAAAUGGAAACGGGGCAAACAUAUUAAUAACGCCGUGCUGUGUGCACACGUUCCCCACACGCCGCUGCUACAAUAACAAAAGUGACACGUUCGUCCGUGCAGAUUACUUGAGUCGCUGUCUCGGAUACGCCCGUGCACGCAGAAUGACGAAAUGUAUCAAAGGAAUGAUUCUUGUACAUUAGCGUUCCGAGAAACAUCGGGGGGGGAAAACAAAAUCCUGGCGAUUUUUCCUGUGAACCGAGGAACGAAAAUCAGUUUCCCUUUGUCCUCACCGGAGUGACGCGUAUCCACAAACAUGAGCCGUCGUCGCCUCGUGAGUGACCUUUGAACUCAUCAUUAAACGCAAUUGUACAGCAGAAACGGCAGCGAGCACCGACAGCCCACAGCGGCAAAGCUGGGAACCAUUACUCAUGGAGUGAAACAAAAGGCUUCUUAAGCUGGAGCAACAUUUGAUGCUGUGUGUUAUUAGUUAUGGUUGACUAUUGAUACCGGUUUCUGAGCUGCACGUGGCCGCAACCAUACCGGCUGAGAUUUUCUCAAUAAAGAAUAAAAUGUAUUCCAACCAUCGUAGGCGGUGGAGGGCACCGCCCAAACUUGAGUUGGAUGCGUUGUACAUUAUUAAUUGCAAAGCCGGCGGUGGAAGUGGCCUCGCUCGGGGGUGGUGCACGCCAGCUCCAGCAGAGUCUCCUCCAUCUUUUCACAUGCAAGUAGAGAUGAAGGGAAGAUUGCCGAGCUUUUCAUCAAUUAACUGAAAGAUAUUUCCUGUGUCAACUUGGCUCUCUAUCACAAACAUAAAUUAAUAGUUAAUAUUAUUUGGGGUGGUAACUGGGGAAUGAGAUUACCUAAUAAUCUAUAACACAUUCAUCUGGUGUGGCAGGUUCUCUCUUCCAGAAAGGCACCUCGAGAGCGUUUUUCGUCUACCUUGGGGGCCUCCGAGGGGGCAGUUUUGUACAUUGGACCACCAAGGUGUGUUGGGCUGUGAAAGGGUCAAAACAAACAGCCGUUUAGUGGAAGAAUUGGAUAAUAUCCGAUUUUGAAAUAAAAAGAGGUAGGCUGAUUUUUUUCCACCCCCAAAUUAAAAAAAAAAAACAUUUCCAAUGAAUUUUGACUUAACAUAUUUGCACUUAUUUUUAUAUUUUUGGACCUCAUAUUUUUUACUUUUUUUUCCAUGACAUUUUUUGGACCUUUUGGACAUAUUUGGACCUUUUUUUUACCUAAGAUUUUUUUUACUUUUUUUUCCACGAUGACAUUUUUCUACACAGCAAAUUUUGAAAUUUCAAAAAAUGACUUCUUAAAGAUAGUUUGGAGAGUUUGUGAGGAGACAAAUUCACCAAGCUACGUGGUCGUGGUGCGACGGGAGAUGCUCGCUAGUGACGUCGGUCUGCAGCCGCUAGGAAUUGUGGGACAGAAACAUACAUUCCUUUUGUAAAGGAAGGUCCAGUGGUUCCUAUGCUAAAGGAGCUAAUCAAGGAAGUGGAACAGCUCAUGGCGGCACUUACACUCCUUCACACGCUUCAAAUUCAGUCUCAUUUUUUGACCAAAUAUUUUCUCAUCCUUUUUUUCCAUGAUAUUUUUCUAACAAACAUUUUUUGUUUACCAUAUUUUUCGUAAUAUUUCACUUUUUUUUUAAAACAUCGAAGGAAAAACAAUGACAUGAUUCAAAAAAGGAAAACAAGCUGCCUCUCGACUGCUUUGUUAUCGUUCCAUGAGUCCUGCUCUGCAGUGGAGAACAAUGAUGCCGCCCACCUCUGCUCACAUCCAUUGUGAGGUUGAUAUAUUCAAUAUACUGUAAUGAGUGGGACAGGCUCACUUAUGAAAACAAAAUGUAACACGAAUAUGUCAAAUUGUUCUGCUCAAGUAUGAUUUCCUUUGAGAAUUACAGCAGCUAUGCAGUCUCUCUCUCUCUAAGUGUCAUUCCGCUGGACUUUAACUCGCCUCGCUGUGUAACCGUGUGGAUUGAAGGUCUUCUAAAGCGAGGCCUGCACACGAGCUAAAGGAUAUGACCCGAAGAUACGUCCACCCGGGUCCUCCCCCCCCCGUGACUCGCACCGCCACGGCCGUGAUUUUCCAUUAGUGUGUGACAGCGGGGCCGUUUAUAGCUCCAAAGCUCUGUGGAGAAGCAGGUUAGCUGUAAUUAUUCAGCCGAUGGCUUGCGAGCAGAGCGGCCCUGUCACACCUCUCCUGGCUCCCCGGACUGAAGGCAUCAGAGGCCGGGAGGAGCAUUUGGAUAUUAGUCACACCGGCAGCCGGCGUCUCCCCGAGGAGGCAGAGGAAGAGACGUAUUAGUGCGCAUGGAUUACAUACUCUUUAAUUCAGCCCCAGACCCAAAGGCCUGAGUGUGUGCGAUAACCACUCGGACCGUAUCUCUCAACCCAUGUGUUUGACUAAUAGCUCUCAACUAGUUCACUCUUAAUCUGUUUAGAAAUGUAUUUUCCGGUAACAGAUGGAUGGAAGCCGACUUUGAGAAUUUAACCUCUCUUUUUUUUUCUUUUCUUCUGUUGGAUUCACUACCAGCUGCAAUUUACUUUAUAUUUAAUUUCGCUCUCCUACGUGCCGUUGCAUUUCAUUCCUUUUUUUCUCUCACAUUACUAUUAGAGAAGCGGCUUCACCUUGUUGGCUGAUAAUAUCAUGCAGGUGCGAUUCAGAAAUAAUGGGGUUGUCACUUAAGGUGCUCAGGGGCGGCGGCGGCGCAGCAGCAGCAGCAGACUGGUGGCUUUUUAAAAAAAUAACGGUAAAAUAAACACAAGGACCAUCACUGCUUUUACUGAGCACACAGAAUGUGAACCUGAUUGAUGGUCUGAAACGGGAUGCUCGCUUCAAGCAGGACACCUGCAUCAUUGUUCAUUAUUCAGGAUAACGUGGAUCAGCGUGGAUGAACAGAGCUUCCCACGUUGUUAUUAUUAUUACUUAAAUUGCAUAAAGUGCACGUUGAUAGAUGAUGUACUGUAGCACUUACGUUGUACUUACAAUGGCUCUAAUCUUUAGCAUGUUGUAAAUCUACUUAUUUAAUGAAAUUGCACUUUCUCGUUUCUUGUUCUUUUGAGUUUGUGUCCUCGGGGUUGAAAUGCACUUAUUGUAAGUCGCUUUGGAUAAAAGCGUCCGCUACAUGACAAGUAAUGUACCAAUAUGUAAUGUAAUGUAGUGAACGUUUGAAAGAAAGACCGAGAGCCACUGAGCUUUGCGAUGUAAAGAAAAAUAAAAUAGGAUUAAUACAAAUAAUAAGUUGAAAUUUGCAUCAGUAUUGGUGGAACAAUUGUAAAAAUGGUUCGUUUGACAUUAUAAUUAGCAAAAAAAAGAGAAAUUCAGUUCAAAGAAUGUGCUAGAAACAAAUACAAACCUUCUCUGUGGAUUCUUCCUCAGCUCGUGGUCAUUUCUGUGUCUUUAAAGUGCUCUCUCCCUCUCUGCUGUGUGAUCGUUUCAUGGUCAUCCUCCUCGCCUCUCGUAUUUCUCUCUCUUUCUUUAUAUCUGGGCUCCAGUUCUGCUGAUGUUGUCGCUGCCAGCACAUAAAGUGUGCGAUAGCUUCUGCUUUGUUCCCCUCUGCUUCUCCCUUUGGGCUUUGGAAUUACAUCUCGCGCGCUGUUCUAUCAAAUCGAAAAGCCCCGCCUGCGCUGCGAGUGUGUCUCUGCCCCGGCGUAACCAAGACAAAUUCCCCCGAAUUUGCUUUCCCUCCAUGUAUCAACGGUUCUUUGGCCUCUGAACAUUCCGCGUGACUCUGCAGACAGUCGAGCGGUAAAUUAUGACGAGGCGCUUCUCACUUUUCUCCAUUAGCGGCUCUUUGAGCGACUGCCUCUGGUCUGCUCGUACCAAAUCAAAAGGCCCCGACAAGGACAGCUGCCACGGGGGGGCCUCCUGUGAUUUGCGGCGACGCCAUUUCCCCUCUGGCGGCGAAUACGGAUACGCAAACCAUGACAGAGAUUAAGCUACAAUUCAUCUUUAGAUUACAGCAAUUAAACUGUCAGAGCUCACAGCGGCAGUAUUUCAACUGUGGAGACCUGCGGCUCCUCAGUGCUGCGUUACGACUUUAAACAUCCUCGCGGUGACAUCUGGAACAAAACAGCCUCCAUUAGAACAACACAAAUUGUGUUGCGUGUUGCGUGUGUGUGUGUGUGUGUGUGUGUGUGUGUGCAGGGUUUUCUGGGUCGCAUUGUGCUGCAGCGGGUUGACUGACAGUGAGGAGAGACUCCGGUGAAGGCGCUUACACAGAUCGCCUGCCGCGUGUUGCCAUCCUGAAGUCAGCUGACACGCGGGCGUGCGUCCUGGGCCCCUCUGAGUAACGCUGGCGUGCGUCGUGGGCCCCUCUGAGUAACGCUGGCGUGCGUCGUGGGCCCCUCUGAGUAACGCGGCCGUGCGUCGUGGGCCCCUCUGAGUAACGCGGGCGUGCGUCGUGGGCCCCUCUGAGUAACGCUGGCGUGCGUCGUGGGCCCCUCUGAGUAACGGCCUCAGCCAAAAUGUCCGCAGUAGAAACGUCCCAAAGUCUAAAUCAAGCAAGUAGCUUCAUGCCGGAGGGCGAGUGCGGCAGCGCCUCCGAGGCAGCAGCUGGCACACAUCUGCUUGUGGACCACUUAUAAAUUAUUAGUGGAAAUGUCAGUCAGCCGUUGCAGGUCCGGCACUGGUGGGGUGACCGUGACGGUCCGAGUCGCGGGUCUCUGCAGGACGAAUACAGACACGUGUCCGCGGUGGACGAGGGAAGAAACCAAAGCAGGCGCGUUGUCCACCGUGACGCGGGACAACGGUUAAUGAAUGAAAGCGGGCGAGGUGACUGAUGCUCUGGUAGUAAUGUGACACCAGCAACCACUGCGACGCAGACAGCUUCUUCGGCAACCGCCGACGGCUGCUUUAAGCACAGACAAUUUCACGCAUGAAAGAUUUACACGCUGAGCAACGGGAAAUCCAUCCAUCUGAAGCCUUUGAGGUGUAAAGGAGUGAAAUAACACAGAGCCUGUCAGCCUCCGAGGUAAGGACGCGUGUCCGGGAAUACCGAUGGCGGCGACCUCGGCGGUACGGAUGGCGGAAUGGAGGAAAAAUACGGGUCCAGUAAGCCGCGGGUAUAAAGUACGAAGGCUUCAGCUUUUGGAGGUACAGGGAGAGAGAGAAAAGGCCAGAGAUGAUGACGCUGUGGAUAACGGUUAUGAAGAACAAUGCAAGAUAAAUUGCACAGUUUCAAUGGAGCGCUUUUACUCCUGGUUACUUUUUGUCUUAAUCAUGAUUUUACUAUUUUGGUGCAGUCACUUCAAGUUCUUUGUUAUCUAAUUAUCACAAAGUUGCCUCAGGCGGCUUGACAGUCUGUAAAACGGCUUGUUGUGUCUCGAAUAAGAGAAACGUUGACGUGUCCUGAUGCGUGUCAGUCACAUCCUGACACGCGGACCGAUGACAGGCACAUCCCGAAUUCAUUCUGAUGACCAGAGAGUUGCAGUACGAGAGAAAGAAAGUAAACGUCACUGUUCUCGGUGUGUGAAAGAGGACGGAGGACGUCCCAAGAAUUAGAAUUAAAUUGACUCAAACGUAGUUUCCUGAGUAACAUGAGGUUUAUUUUGAAAAGCACUGGAGGCAAGUUGCUGGCAGAAACUGACGUGACGUAAACCAACGCAUAUUCCUUGUUAUAUGAGCCGGAUUCUGAUUCUAAUAAGGGCUCCAUUGUGAUCAAAGACGAAAGAAGAAUACCUGCGAGUGCAUUCUCAUCCAAACACCAACAAAAAGCUGCAAUCUCUCUAGCUUUUAAGUUGAAAGGUUUUUUAAUGAUAGGUCGAUGUAAGUGUCCCGAAGAAUGCCGUUACUUACAGAGGUUUUAAAAAUCACUUCCACUAAAGUGAAGGCAAGAAAAUCCACCUACAGUGGCUCACGCUGCAAUCACUGUCUGAAUUGCGCACAAUUACGACAAUUACACUGCUAAAACAUUGCAGGAAAAAGGACAGAUUGACUUUGAGUUCUCGUUGCUGAUGUCCAAAUUGCUAUUUUACUGAAAAAAAGAAGAAGGGCCGAGUCCUGCGGGCAGCGCGUGUGAGGUGAAGACCACGGCGCUUUGGAACCGGCACUUAAGUAGAGUGGAAUGUGACGCUUAAGUGAGGAAGAAAAUAAAUGUAGACGGUCACAUGAGGACGAAACGUGUGUCGUGAACUCACAACUGAAGGACGUCGCGUCCAGCCGAGGAUUGCUAAGAAGGGUGAGAUGAGUGAAACCAAAGUGUCCGGUUUCAUGAAAUCAUGACCACCAACACGCGCAGAUUUGCAGUCAGUUGUUGUUGUUUUCUUCUGCUUGGAGAUGCAGGGAGACGCUUUUAGAACAAGCGUUCUUCUGGGCUUACAAACAAAGAUAGCUCGGGAAGGGAAGCGGUCCGCGGCUGGCGGGGGGAGAGACUAUGGAGAGGAGCAGAAUACCAAAUUUAGAUGUGAAGGCUUGCUUGAUAUGUAAAUGGGAGCCACUGUAUGAAUGUUUCAUUCAGGCUUGGCUGAGGUAGAAUGUGCACACAGAGUGCCAACAGAGCAUGAAAUAUACAUCAGAACUUUUUGUGUGUGUGUGUGUGUGUGUCGGCCGGGUACUGUAAGUUAAUGAGUACGGGCGGCGUGUUUUUUUUCCCCGCGUGUAGCGUCUGACUUUCUUCUCUGCAUGGAGGCCGACGCAGCAGAGAGCAGCGGUGGAAGUGGAGACGUCUCGGCAUCGCCCGGAUAAGAAGCUGCUCACUUUACAGCCUAAUGGCACGUAAGCGACCAGGCCGGGGAAACAGAAUGCAAAAUUACAUUUAAAAAUGACAGAAAACGGAUAAACACGGCCGUUUAUCUACUUGGAGAAGGUCAAAGGGGAAAAUGUUCGGUGCAACGUGGAUUUGUUUGUCACGUGGCCGCCGUACGUCAGUGCCCGACAAUGUAGAACGACCAGAACGCCAUGCGUCUCGCUCGCUUUCGGAACGCGUUGCGUCGGUCAGGUACGACACACGCGGGGGGGGGAACACGGAUUUUCUAGCCCAAAGCGGAAAUGUCACGUUCUCAAAGCUGCGUUUUAAUUAAAAAAACUAAUUGACACCCGCCUGGUACGUGAGCAGGUAAGAAUACAUUUUUCCUUUAUUAAAAAAAUCAUUGCACCUGUCAAAUGAUCCAUUUGUAAAAAAAAAAAACAAAGUGCCAGAAGUGAACAAUAACGCCGGCAAUUACUGACAAACUGCUUUUAACUUUUACGGCCGCUGUUAGAGGAUCUCCAAAAGAAGUUUGUUAUUCUAAAUGCAGAGCUCUGCGUGAGAAGAGAUAAAUAAUGCAGGAGCCUCCCUGCAGGGCGGCGAACAUUAGUUUCAUCGGCACGCUGCCCACCCGUCAAGUCACUGAAGACAAUAAUUUGACUUGGCACGUCUGCAGUUCAGUGAACGAGGAGUCCAGAAAGAAUUAACAAUUUAAAAAACAAAAAUACACAGAAUUAUAAAAGUUCAUUUUUGCCCAAUUUAGAUCAGCCUUUUAGUUAAUUAGCGCUCUGAGGAAAAAGCCUUUUAUUUGACUCGGCCUGGUGAGAUUUUGCCGCUUGAGCUCCAACAUUGUUCGGCUCCAGAGCAUCAUGUUCCCGCGCAGCAUAAACAAUGCAUCUCGCUGCGCCGGCUUCCCCGCCCCCGGCGUGCAGUAGCUGCCAAUCUGCGCUGCCAUGAAAUCUCUGAGCUGCCAUUCAGCAGCUAACAACCUCUGCAACUUGUGAACCCCACCGCACUCACUCACACACACGCACGCACACACACCACUCAUCACUCACUCACGCUCUGCACCAGUGCAGUGUGUCGCCGCCGCCGCCCCCCCGGCGGGAAGCUGUACGGGCAGCAGCUCCCACGGGCCCCCCGGGGCUGAGGACCAUUAUGUGGUUCAGCACCACCCGUCACACCAGGAGGAGCCACAGCGGCGCAGACGGGCUGUUUGGCUCCGUCCUAGUCGGGGGGCUCGAGUUUCUAUAAACAAAGAGGGAAGGGAGGAACACACAACGCAUCCUACAGCUAAAAGCAUGAGAACAAUCUGAGGGGCUACUUGAAGAGCUAAAAGGUGUCGUGAAAUAGAGGAUUCCCCCGAGAGCUGCUCUCCAGUCCGAGCCUGCAAGUUUCGGGUCUCGGGGUAAAUAAAUGCGCAGAUGAAAGUGAGUUCAACUCAUGCAUCCAUUGCUCCACGUGUGAUUACUUUUCCUCAUCAUUAUUCUUCUGUCUCGGACACGUCACAGAUAGAGAAACCACUCGUGUGCAACAACAGAAUCUGUGUGUUCGUGUAGGACGUCGUCCCUGAACACAAGGAGAUGAUUGUACGCCCUCAACAAAGAAGAAUCUCCGUCCCUUUUCACUCUCCAACCUCCUCUCAUCUCUCGGGUCUAGUUUCUGUGGUGCAGGAUCAAGUUAAUGCACCAGGUUCAAAUCAUCACAAUUUAGGAGAGAAAAACCCGUUUGAACCACAAUCAAUCCGUACGGUUUCAUAACAUAGUUGUGACCCGGCGCGUUGAGUAUGCCGCAGAAACAGAAGACACGGAAUCUGAUUUGCUGACCAGAUUCCAGGAAUUCAUUCAGCUGUGACACACAGCAGGUUAGAAGGCAGCCAAGAACUUUGUAUUGCACCUACGGAGAAAAGAGGAAUGUAUUCCAUCUCAUUACCUUUCAUUCUUUUUUUUCUUUUGAUGGAUCUGCACUGGUGCCUCCUGCAAAUGAAUCUCCACGCUGUGCAGCUAAAUGAGCCUCUGAAUAUUUCAUUAACGAUUUACGCCACAUACGGCCCCAAUGAUGUCUGCAGAAGAGGAGGAAUUAUAGCCCAGAAAAAGCAAAGGUAUCCUUGCGGAAAGAAAUAAUGACUUUCUAAAUGCGGACUCACAGAGGACCAAUAUUCCCGGUUAAGGUUCUGCGCAUCAUGCCUUGUGUUACAGGGAAAGCGGAGGCGAGGGAUAAUGCAACCACACUGAGAACCCUGUUCCACUCAAAAGGCAAUCAGGCAGCCGCUCAACGAGCGACACGCCGCUGUUUCUGUUCAUUAAACACGCGCAGUCCCUCCAGAACAAACCUCGCCUUCCCCGGAAACAACAAAGGCAUUUGGCUACGAGUUGAGGAAAAGAUUGAUGGUUCGGGUUCAGAUAAUGACGGACAGAAGUGACAUAAUGGUUCCAUCAACAGCCUCAGACCACAGAACGCACGUGUCCUUCACGGUUUUUACUAAUUACGGAGGAAACCCGUGGAAUUCUCCCCGCAUGUCCUGCCCGCAGAGGUAAACCAGUAUGAUUCCACCCUCAGUUAGACUCUACACGCUGUGCUGCGCCUCUCCUCAUCCAUCAUACUGGGAAAAACAUGUUAGCUUGUGUUUUUGGGCCUCAGAAUGAAUUAUUCAAUGAGCUCCUCAUUAUCUCGGCUGGACCUGUGCGUAGAGGACGUUCCGCGACUCGAGCUCCUUCUCCUUUCGCUGAGGAGCCGGGAAAAGCUCUCAGGUUAAUUGAAUUGUGGGGGGGUUUUUUGGGGGGGGGGGACGGUUGGUGGUCGCACUGUAAGCACAGACACAGCUGCUCUCGUCUGCCGUGAUUCAUUUAGGUUGCUCGCCGCCGAGAGCCCAUCCGGACCGCGGGACGCGAGUUAGCCGUAAUUCUUCAGUAAAUGAAAACAUCACCGCGCAGAACGAUGCUCACAUUUGGACAAAGUACCAUCGUAUCGUUAUUUUGGGAUGAACACAUUCAGGAGGGGGCCGGUGGCGGUCGGUGCUGGAUGCAAAGUCCCCUCAACCUUUGCGUUUUGUCGACGUUGGUUUUAUUCAUAAUGCAAAAUCCAUUUUAAAGCCAUUAUGCAAAGAUAUGAUGUAGCCAUUUUUAUUAGAGAACCAUCAAAAGUUUGGACACACUUUCUCAUUGAUUUGAAUGGGAAAGUGUCCAAACUUUUGACGAACACGCACAAUAUAUAAUAUAUUUCUCAAUCCCUCGCGUUGACAAAGGUUAUAAAGAACUUGUUGAAAUGAACAUAAAGCAUUGUAACCCGUUUAAAGCCACGUUGGAGCCGAUAAAACAUGGUACAGGGACACACAAUCUGAGGCCAUGUGUCAGGACGCAAUAAAAUAGAAUGAAACUGUCACCACACCGUGUCCCGCCGUGUCCCACGUCCCUUUCCCUCCGACGCAGCAAUGUCAGUCAGACAGAAUGAGAAUGAAAAUGCUUUGCGACUCCAAUUCGGUUUGCAUUGAUAAAAGGUCAUUUCACUGGGAACCGAGAGCAGACUAAUUCACAAAAUAAGGAUUGAUUCUGGCCCUAAUUUCCUCCUCCACCAAAGUAAUGAUUUACUGUACGUACAUGCGGAGCGUAUUUCUCAGAAGUCCCGAACAAUAUUUGACAAUCAUUUUAUGAUUGUGUCUCGUGAAGGAUGUACAAAGAAACCCACACAAUGGCAAAAGAGUCUUUGUAUUCUUUUUUAUUUUAUUUCUUUCUUGUUAAAACUCAUGUUCAUUCAGAGGCGACCUCGCCUCUUACACCGAUUCACGUGAUAUAUUCACUUUCCCUAAGAAAGGCCUGCAACUCGUCUCCGUCUCUCCUGAUAAAUGCAUGAGGUAUUUUUAAAAUAAACUCCACAGGAAACAACUCAGUUGGGUUUAUGCAACAACACCAUUAGGGAAAGAUUGUUGUUCAAAGCUCCGUGUCCACAUUUGUUCACCUGUUCAUGUUUGCAAAUGGAGACGUUUAUGAUUUACGGUAAUUAUAAAAUGUCAGACAGCCACGAGGAUCUUUACAGGCAUUUAACGGAGCUGCAAAUGACUUAUUGUGAGUAUUCUUUAUUAAAUAUAUGUACUGUGGGCAAAGCAAUCAAGGAGUCAUUAAAUAACUCACAUUUUUAAUCUAAUUUGUGAACCUAUGAGUGUUGUUUGCUUUACACCGACGGAUUGAGAAUGUGAAAUAAUGCUGAAAGCCUCUCUGGCAAAUUCAUAAUCUUUACGUUCAGGAUGUGAACUGAGAUUUACUUGCAAUGUGUUUAAUGUGUCAGUAAAUUCUAACGCGUACACGUUGACAUUCCCCACAAGUGUCACGUUACUCCAACUUGUCUCGUUUCAUCAUUGUUUCAUGAAGAAGGCUUUUAAUUUGCUGUUCCGGGACUCCUUUGCUCAACGACUGAAGCUGCGAGUCAUUUCUUUAAACAAAAAGAAGAUCCCCCUCCUCUGCUAUAAUCCCUCUUUUCCCCGCUGGAGUUGAAGAUUCAAAGCUGCUUUCUCUUCUCUUAAAUGUCAUUAAAAAAAAAAGGCCGGUUAGGGGAGCGGAAUGGUGCAGGCGGCUCUGGUGGGGAUUUUAGAAAAUGCCUCACUUCCCUUUUCCUCCGUCUCUGUCUUUCUGUCCACCUUUGGGAUUUAGCUCACCUAACCCAACACACACAGCAUAACACAGCAGACUCUGAGGCAGCAAUGAGGAAUAUUAGGGAGAGAGAAAUGAAAUAACAAACCAAGAAACAGGAGGAGUGUGAGGAAAUGCAGGGAGGACACGAGGAGAAGGAAUAAGAGGAAAAAGACGUGGUUUGUUUAAGCAAACAAGAAAUGAUUAUGCAUGCAAACAGUAAAGUGUUCAAUGAAGAAGAAAAGAGUUAGUAGAGGGGGGCGUAUCGUUCUCAAAACAUCUCCUGACCUGCGACCCCCCCCCCCCGAACACAUCUACCAUCUCUACAAAAAAAAGACCAGAUUGUUGCUCUGCAGUCUUAUCAGCCGGCACCAGCAGAAAACCUCCAGAGAGACGUUCAUAGAGCUCGUCCAAGACUUGCACACCACUUACUAGAUGCAAAUUACUGACUUAACGCAUAUAAUUCAAUGAAGACGGUAGAGACGAAUGCGGAGGAAGAUAACUCAAGGAGAGUGUGAGGAAGUAUUUUGCACAGCGAAACGAGAGGAUUCCUUCAUAAGACAAUAAGAAUUUUGCACCUUACAACAUAAACAGGUUGAACAAACUGAAUUCCCAGUGACAUGCAAACUCAGUUGCCGUGACCGACAGGAGAAAAUUCGAAAUGAUGACAUUUUUUUUUUUAAAUUUUCAAAUAUUAUUCCGUGCUAAAAGAGGUGUAUAAUCGUAAAACAUGCAUGGGAACCAGACAGAUAAAUAACGUACAUUUCGAAAAACAAAACAGGCAUCAAGCUCUUCAGAUUGAUCCGUAACCUUGGAAAUGACAAACAGGAAGGAGGUUGUUGAUGAGUGGAGAAGUGAUCCAGUGUUACACCUGCAUAUCGCUCCCUCCUUCUCAUCAUGGGGCUUUAAAUAGAAAAAGAUCCUGUUCCUGUGAUGCCGUUUCCUUGCCGGCUGCAGGUCAGUGUAACGUUGCAGUACCACCCUCUGCUGGUCAUCGGGUUUCAUCAGAUGUUCUCAAGCUGUCGGGCCAAACGCGGCAGUCGGUGCUGAGACCAGAUGCCUGAAGGACACUCCGCUUGGAAUGAACCAAAUCCUUAGAAAGGACCCGAACUUUUUCAAAAACGUUACUCCCAGGCAGGUUCUUCAAGCUCAGAACCGCCCGUGAGGUUCGCUCUGGAGUAAACAGAUGAUGUCACCAAUAAAAGGGAAUUAAAGGGAUUUCCUUAAGCUCUCGUUUGCUUCUUGAGGCUUUUAUUUAGAAACCGACUGGUGAGCCGCAGUCAGCUCGUCCUUCCAUUCGGGAGCGUUUUCCUUUCUUAUCGGUCGUAUAGAACAAUAGUCUCUCUCUCUCCCUGCGUAGUUUCUUUGAAAGUUGUCCAACCAGUUGCAGUUGUGCAGAGGCAACAAUGUGGCAACAUUGCGUCCCUGCGGUGACCAGUAGUGAUGCCGCAGUGAGUCCGAUUGAGGAGCUCUGUUCAUCCGAUCCCCGACGUGAGCCGAGGGUUUACGCCGACAUCGGCUUCUUACCUCAAAAACAGCCCUCUCAACAUGGCCCGGCGCGCGGAACGAGGAGCGCAAGCGUCUGGGAAUCGCAAGCAGGUGGCUCACCAACGCACAAGUGGUUCAUAAUAUUGGGAGAAAAUCACGAUGCUUGUAUGAAGUUGCGGAGAAAUGCAGAGACCCUCGAGAAUGACAUUCAUUUGUGUCUGAUGACAAUUUAAUGUGGCCAAUUUCCUGACACACACUUUAUUUAAUGACUGUAGUUACACCCAGCAGGGGGGGUAAUGUGGCCUGAAAAGCAUGUGAAUGCCUGGGGGGGGGCCCGUGGGUACACAGCCAGUUGACAUUUUUGUGUUGCAUGAUUGGCACAAGAUACAAAAUCACAGGAAGGAGUACGAAUAGUACAUUUUAUUAUGUGUGAUUUAAUCCCAGUGAAAGUUUACGUUUGAGAUGAACGGCAGGUUCAUCCCCCCCCCCCCGAGAUGGAGAUAAUCACCAUCUAUAGAUUCCCUUAAGACUCCUCAGAAACACAGACAGAGAUUAAUAGCAAGCGACACGAGUGAAUUGAAAUAGAUAAAAGAUGAAUAAGCGAGGAGGGCGGAGAGAGAGAGAGAGAGACGUCGGUGUUAAGUGGCGAGGUGGCGAGUUUCAUUACGCGUUAUUAAAAGAGCCACAUGUUAUCCAGGUCAGGGCAGCAGAGAGCCGCUCGCCGCCCGGCUCGGGGGUCCUCUGGGCCCUUUUAAAUUUAAAUGGGGCUGCUCGCAGGUGGCAGGAGACGAGGAGGAAGAGGCUUCAAAGGCUACGAGAGGAAGAGGGCGAGCGAGACGUUGGGCAGCUAAUGUCGGGAAAGCAGGGAGGAGGCCGGCGGCUUGGCUCGGGGGGAGGUUGGGGGUCGCCGAUGCCGUUCGUUUGUGGGGAAGGUGACUUGAAAAGGGCGGACUGGCUCAUAAGUGGUUUCUGAUCCGACUUCCCUGUUGAGAGGAGGAAGAAUUCUAAUCCGACGCCAGUGGGGCUGAUACGCUGGUCCAGCUGGGCCAGUGGCGACGCGUCUCCGGAUGUCGUUGUUGGUGUUUUGUGCUCUUUGCUCCAUCAACUGUGACUUACUAGAAUUAGCAGAAGUAUGACAAGUUGUAACUGGUGUAAAACUGACAUUUACUGCAGAGGAUCGGUGCCUACUGCAUGUGGGAGAUGCUGCCGCUUCAUUCAAAGAACCAGCGAUUGAGGCCAUAUGAAGCUGUGUUUCAGACAGAAGAGUCUCCUCCUGCAACCAUUCCCCCCCCAAAAUGUAGUGGAGAAUUCCGUUUAGCUGUUUUUCCUUUAGUACGAGGCAGGUUUUAUGUGAAAUACCUCCAGAAGAUGCAACUACAAAGACCGAAACGCAAACGUCCCCACGGCUUCAAUGUGGAUCCGGCUUAUCGUUCCGCUCAACCGGCAGCACUGUGGUCUGAAGACUGGCUUUUGAGCAGCUCGCCGGUUCAUCUAGAAACGGCGGCGCGCGAGAGGACGCCGAGGUGGGGUUCACCGGCUGGUGCUCGUUGACUUUGGACCACGGUCACCUGCCGCGAGUUCAACUAACUAAUGCGGCCCGGCUGACCUCGGCCGCUCGCACCCCAACUACCGCGCACGCGGUAUUUUCCUGAGUGUCCUUGAGUUGAGAAUAGAGGCUGAAUAAAGGUUUAUUGCAGCGGAUUAGCUGCGCUUAUUUAUGGCCACGCAGCAGUAAUCAGAGCGUUGACUUAUACUGCUGACGGGGGGGAAGGUACAUUAUAAGAGUGCGUAUUUCAUAGUGGUGAGUACAACGCUUCACGCCCAGCUGUCAUUUUGGAGAUGAGCUUCAGGGUUAUUCCAACACCGGCUCAGGGAUUUUUUGAAAGUUUGAAAACAGUUUGUCUUUAUCUUUUUCUUUUUUUUUUUGUUCUUUCAAAUCAUCAAUUAAAAGUAAAACUAUUUGUCAUUUGCCGGCACCUGCAGGCCUCGAUGCCCGACGGCCUGCUCGGCCCACCUGCAGGCUGCAAUCGAGCUCCGCCUGUUAAUAUAAACUCGCGGCAUCGCUUUUACGCAUCACACAACCUCUGUGAUGAGAAACAUCAUUUCUCGAAAGUGACCACCAACUCACAAGUCAUCGUCCUCACGCUCGCUGCAGCCAUGUGGCUAAACACCAUUUGCCGCCAGCUGCAUUUUUUUAAUUAUACUCACUGUUUGAAUCAUUCAAACCCAACAGGUACACAGGCACGGAGUUAACGUGCGUUUUUUAAGGUAGAAAAGUCUUCUUGAAUCAUUUUAGUCAUCGUGGCACAAUGACGAAGGUAUUAGCUCGACGAAUUAGUGAAAAAACGUGAAAUCGACUCGACUGAAUUGCUCCAAAGACUUCCUUCGUCACAAUGUGAAUUUGGUGUUGAGAUGCUCGGCUAAAAUGUCAAAAAGAGUCAACUACGUGCUGCGUUUUUUUACAUUCGUCCUCUUGGGACUUUGAAUACGGAGCAAACGUCCCUCUCGGGACGCUGGAGACCACACGGCCGUUUAACGAGAGGAGGCCUGCUUCAUUUUUCAGUUGGGGCCGACGUUGCCAUCUAUAACGUUAUUCUACUCACGUGGCUGACUGAUGGUGAUUCCCUCUGAGGGGGAAAUAUGGGUUACACUUUUAUAUUUGUCACCCUAAUUGCUCAGAGUGCCUGUGUUCCCCCGUCUUUUGCUUUCGGCUUUGGCUUCGGGGUUGGAAAUGAAAGAUUAGAGAACACAAAGCGAAGAAAUGAGGAUAAAGCUCUGAUGACACACAGGGGGAGAAAAAAAACAACAACCAACCGGCGUCUUUGUGUCUCUACGUCCGGCGUUCUGCACACAGCAGCGGAGAACAAACGGCGGUGGGAAUUUAACUCCCUGAAAAGCUGUCGCUAAUACGCAGGAAAUGAAACUGGACACACACACGCGCACCAACCCGCCAAACUGCCACAUCAGUCCUUAUGGAAGGUUCUGACUCCGGACCUCAGACUGUCCAACCACAGGAGGAGGAGUCAACAUGUAUUAAAUGUGAAAUACAGAAAAUCAAUAUUGCAUUUAAAUCUUUUUUUUUUUUUUAAUCCAUCCAAACUUUUGAAAGUUCUGACCCUUCGUGCAGUUCUGAAGGAUUUCCAGCACAAGACGAGAUGCGUUAUGAGCUUUUUACGUGACAGAUUGGCUGCUGCCAUUUUAAUUCCUGGAUGACAUCGUCGGAAUGUCAAGAGGGAUUAGAAAGGAAGACAACAGCGAGAGACAGAAGUUGGCAUUCAGCAAGCGGCGGCUGCGUGCCAGCGGGCGCUCGGCCAGACCCAAGAAACACGCGGAAGCUGAUGUCGCCCCCUGAAGCUCGCCUUUCCGAUUCAUCUGAAUCAGAACAAGGAUGCACGCUGGCCGCGUCGUUCGGAUGUGCGCCGUGAGGACGUUGGCAGCGAAGGGCAACAAAGGUCGAGCGCGUUUACCCCCCCCGACAGAGAGGAAGACUGCGUUUGCGCUUUUCAGACCCGCUCGCAUGUCAUAUUUUAGCAAUAAUUAUAAUUCCGUGCCUCACUUUGGAGUCGAGGACAGGCCCUUUCGCUUUACAAUCAACCACAUCACCCCCUCACAGGGGAGGCCUCCUCUCUCAUCAGCAAACACCACCAUCUGCCGUUGCCCCCCAUUUGUUUGCGUUUGCCUCCAGUCUGCUAAUCGCCGUCUUCGCCGAAGCAAAGCCAUUGCAGCGGGGGAACUUUCCCCGCUCAGGUUGAUAUUCGCAGUGCAGCGGGGAACGAGCCGACGGAGGCUCCAGAGGCGCCGACGGCCCCCGUUCGUUUCCAUGAGCGCAGCAGCUUCACAGCACCUCAGAAGUGACAACGGCAAGUCAGCUUAAAUGGAGCAAAGCGAGAAGACGGGCCGGAAUUUCACCUGAGUGACUGAUCCUGAAUGAAUUCAUGGAAGCUUCAUGAUGCGAUGGCGGGGAGGGGGGGGGGACUGGCUUGCCUUUAAGGCGCUUGUUCAAAAGGCAAUACUUUAAUUUGAGGCAAUUUCAAAGAUGUAUAUAUAUAUUUAUUUUACUGGUGAAGGAUGAAAACUGAGCCGUUCCAAGUCACCUGCAUUCUGUGCAUGUGUGGAUAAUAUGUGCAAUUUCCCAUUUUGAACCCAUAUCUGUCCUUGUUAUGACCCCCCAGUUGUGGCUGCAGCCGGCAGGAAAACAUCUCCAAUAAAGUCUGGAGUUCUUCUAUUUUCCUCCCGGGGCGUUUGAUCCCAGGCUCACGUCCUCUCCAGUGAUGAAGUUCAAUAUUUUGCUUUUAUAAAUGACUGACUGAGCUUCUUAUCCCAACGGACUUUCACACUUUUCUCACUAAACCUCCACAAAGUAAAUCUAAUUUUCUUUUCUGCAGACAUAGCAGAGCUGUGUACACACACACACACACACACACACACACAGGCUCUUUUGACUUUUAUAUUCAUCCAGCAGCUUCACUGCGUAUAGAAAAGCUCUUCUUCGUGUAUUUCUGGGCCAAAUUGGUGUAAUUUAAGACAGUUCUCCUUCAGCCAGAAAAAUAGCUUUAAAAUACCAAAAAUUGGCACCAGACUCCUCCAUUGUUAAGAAAUUGAGGCGGUUAUCUCAAAAUCUCUUCGACCUGCUCAAUUCUGCCGCUCGAUGACUCGAUGCAUCUCAAGCUCCCUGUCAAAGGCCCCCUGCAGACGGCGUACGAGUACCGUGGCGUCCGUUUGUCUUGGUGCCCAUCGUCACCCAAUGGGCACCAAGCUGAGAAGAUCUUCCUUCACACAUGCGGGUCAGUGAGGUCAGCGGCAAAGUUGGAGCAGGAGACACAACGCUGAGUUUCAGACUCGACCGUUCAAUCAAUUCUGGGUUUCUAAAUAUUUACCCACAGUCACAAAACCCUGAGCCAUCAUUCCCCCUCCUUCACAUAAGUGAUGGGCAGGCGAAAUGAGAUUUUCUCCCACUGAAUGAAUGAAUAUCAACGAGACAGAGGGCCGAGCGACAGAGGGAGAGAGAGAGAGGGGGAGGAGGGCAGGAUGAGCUUUAUUUGCCAUUUUUGGUUAAACAUACAUGGAAUUUGACAUCGCAUGUGCCCUCUAUCACAAAAUGAAUAUACAAGAGAAAGGGGAGUGUACAUAAGGAUAAAGUGUGGAUGUUGGAGGCCGAGUUUAAGUCCCGGCGGAUUGUGGAUCCCAGAAACCUGAAGGUCUCCGGACUCCUCCCCGUCCCCCCGCUGUGACCUCCGAGAGCUUCACGUGACAAAUUUAAUCUCUCGCUCACUUUUUGGGGAGUUUCAGAAUGACUUUUGAGUGACAUUUGGAUUCAAAACCUACUUUCACGGCUCAUCGCUGCCACCAGAGUCAUGUGUGAUGUCAGAUAAAAAAAAACCCGGAUUAAUAAAACGGAUUGUGUGGUUGUCUGAAUAAUUGAAAGUGGUUAAAUCACGAAAGCCUUCACGUGGCAGCGAGUGUUCUGCACAUGAAUGAUUUGCUUCUGUUGUAAGCGCAGAUAUUUCAAUGUCACAGGCUUCAUGGAGCAGCCGAAGCAAUGUUAUCAUGUCAUCAUUAAGUGUUGUAUCAAAACGCCUGAACAAAUAUGGAGAGCGGAAAAUGAAUGACUGAAACGUUUACAUAAUUAGAAUAUUCUCUGAAUUUUUUUUUUUUCAUUGGAUCUCAAAAUUUUGAAGGUGGCAAAGGUUGAUUCGGUUUUCUAAUCCUGUAUCUGGAGGAAACUGGAGUAUUUAUGCGACUGAAUAAAGAACAAGAUCAAAAUGAAAAAAUAGGGAAAUCCGUUUCAGUGGUAAAUUCUUCGCUGAAAUACUGAGCCGAGGACACAAAUCUGUCUGAUUUCUUCCGCUUUGAUGCAAACAACCUCGGUAUUUUAUUUUUCCUAUUUCGGGCCGCCUUAAAAUCCACACUGAGAACGCAACAGACGGAGUAACCAAGCGCAGGUCUGCUUAAUCAACGGAAAAUCCCCACAACAUGCAGAGGUCGAGGGGUUUCCUCCGUAAUUCAUGCGUGAGAGCGGCGAACAGAUUGAAUUGUCACAACUCAGAUGAGAAGAGCGAGAGAGUCUCUCUCUCUCUCCUGCAAUAGACAGGAGGGGAGACGAUGCUGAUUUCGUCUUCGGAUCAUUUACGUUCAGUCAGGAAUCCUCAAGUCGCUCCAGUGUUGCUGUCCCUGACCUUUGACCUCCUUGUGGAAGAGGAACGAAUGGAAAGAGAUCAGGCCUCAUGGAAACUCAGCUUUGGUUCUUUUUUUUUCACCACUAAAUUAAACAGUGAACACUUAUACUUGCGUGUUAAUUCAAACCAUGUGUGACACAUCGACUUUAAGGCCAAAUCAAAGCAUAUUGAUCAUAUUCUAUUCAUUGCAUCUCUGAUAAUUACACGAAUAAAGGAUGAAUAUAUGGCCGCUCUAUAUGAGAAGAAUGCGACGCGUACUUGACGCAGAGUGGUUGGUUUUCGUCGCACAGCGGUGAGGAAAUAAAUCAAUCAAACUGCCGUAAAUAACCCGCCAGUGAAAGUGCCAAAGAGUUCCUUUGGUGUGGAGAUGAGAGAACACUACAUCAUCUCCCGCAACGAGACGUUGUCCCUCUGGUUUAUCUCCAUCGGUGAUGUUGUGUGCAUGCAAAGACUAAACACAUCAUGAGUAACGGAGUUCGGGGAAAAAAAAAACAUUCCUUCUGUGCAACUGAAGCAAUGUGUCUGUGCGUGUUCCUCCUCUUGUGGUUCCAACAGGAUGUUUCCUCCUCGUAGACGCCAACCUUCCACACAAAAGGUAACCGAGUGACCCGAUGUGAAACAUGCAGACCAUUAAACACAAUGAAUGCUAAUGGAGGUCAAGGGUCAUUCCGGACGAAAUGGGCGUUUGUUCAAUGUCAGUGAUUUAGCGUCUUAAAUUGACUUUGUCGGUAAAUGAAUAGCUGUUGAAGUCCAUUAACACCCUGGUCACAUAGAAAGUGUACUUGCUCCUCUUCAAAGGGCGACUUGUGCCGCUGUCGGCCGGACGGCGCUGACGGAGUUCACAACGCUGAGACUCUCGAGGCAAAACUGGCCUCGACUUGACAGCAGAAGACCUGAAAACAACCCGAUAACUCGACGACAUCAGCGGCGCUCUCACGGUGCAGAGCAAACAAUUUAAAUAGCAGACACGGCCCGCCGCCGCCGCCGCCGCCGCCGUCCCCUCCGCGUAAUCAAUUUGCACACGCGGACGCGGCAUCUGUCUGCGUGCACAGUUGCCCUUUUCAGAAAUGCCACGGAAGGUCACGGAGCAGUAAGUCGGAGUGUCGGCCUGAUUUCGCACACUUCCUUGCGCAUCAGUGGUGCGUUUAUGCAGGAAAAACAGCAGACGUAACACGGGAAUCAAUCCGGGUUUAAUCAUUCCGUCGUUUGGUGUUUCCUCGCCGGCGGUUUGAUUUAAGAGCGGCCACAUUUUAAUGCACGGCACUCACAGGCGUCGAGGGGGGGGGGGAACUCGGGCGGGCUCUCAGACAAAUAUUGAUCCUCUCUGUUUCAUUUCUUUUUUUUUUUUAUAAUCCAAUCAAUACGGGGCCAGUGUUUCUGUGUGAGCGGGCAGCACAACUCUUACAGCGAGGGCCCGGCCUGCCGGAUAACAUAUUGGAAGAUGCUUAAAUCCAAUGAAGAGAGUUCGGAUUGUACGAAUGAAUUAUAAAUGUGCUGCAUUGAAGGUGGAUUGCAUGAGAUAUGAAUGCGAUUGGUGUGAAGCAGGUGUUUGUAUGAUGCCAGUGCAGUAAGCACAUUCACAACGUAAUCAUCUCAUUAAUGUUGCCCUGCAUGGCGAGCGACUGGAUCCUGACCGACUUGGUUCCGUCCGUCUGCGAUGUCCCGGGAGACACGGCGGACGGAGUUAGACGGUAUCUAUUGUGGGGGGAAAACACCAUCUUCUGAAAUAUAAAUGUGUGGUUUUCAGAAUGAAUGCAUUGCGACGGCUUAAUGUCUCUCCUCACCGCUGCAGCUUUACCUCUGACUACAUUUAUGGUUUCCCAGUCGCUUUGUCUCUGUCUGUCUCUGUCAGAGCAGACGUCUUCAUCAUUGGCUGCAACGCUGAGGUAAUGAUUAAACCCCUGAGAGCCAAGAAGUGCUUUCUGUGAGGUCGGCAAUCUUUGUCUUUGGCUUUUCAUCCGUCCGGUGGAUAUUUCGUCGCAUGAUUCUACAGAACCGCCGCGACAUUUACAACCGGGUUCGAGUACAAAGGAUGCUUUGUUUCGCCAUCGGUUAGUCCAGUUAACUAAUCAACUAACACCUGGCUGCUUAGACACUGUGAUCACAUCUUGUGAAAGUACUUUUUUCAGUGACGUAAAGGGUUGUGUGUUUGUGGGGAAAAGGUGCAGCGGAGGCAGCUUGUGUUGCGGCCUCCUUUCUUGGAAGCCCCCGUGGCUUAUCAGAUUCCCGCCUGCAGAUAGUCCCCCGCAUAAAGCGGACCUGUUUGUCCUUUCAUGUUCCUCGGAGUGGCAGGAAAUGAGACAGUGGGGGGAAUUUUUCCAUCGACGCCUCUUU
ensembl:lncRNA